rnacentral:rRNA from 1 species
GAUGAACGCUGGCGGCGUGCCUAAUACAUGCAAGUCGAGCGAACAGAUAAGGAGCUUGCUCCUUUGACGUUAGCGGCGGACGGGUGAGUAACACGUGGGUAACCUACCUAUAAGACUGGAAUAACUCCGGGAAACCGGGGCUAAUGCAGGAUAACAUGUUGAACCGCAUGGUUCUACAGUGAAAGGUGGCUUUGCUGUCACUUAUAGAUGGACCCGCGCCGUAUUAGCUAGUUGGUGAGGUAACGGCUCACCAAGGCAACGAUACGUAGCCGACCUGAGAGGGUGAUCGGCCACACUGGAACUGAGACACGGUCCAGACUCCUACGGGAGGCAGCAGUAGGGAAUCUUCCGCAAUGGGCGAAAUCCUGACGGAGCAACGCCGCGUGAGUGAUGAAGGUCUUCGGAUCGUAAAACUCUGUUAUUAGGGAAGAACAAAUGCGUAAGUAACUGUGCGCGUCUUGACGGUACCUAAUCAGAAAGCCACGGCUAACUACGUG